UACAGAGGGGGCUAGCGUUGUUCGGAAUUACUGGGCGUAAAGCGCGCGUAGGCGGCUUUGCAAGUUAGAAGUGAAAUCCCGGAGCUUAACUUCGGAACUGCUUUUAAGACUGCAGAGCUAGAUGCCGGUAGGGGGUGGUGGAAUUCCUAGUGUAGAGGUGAAAUUCGUAGAUAUUAGGAGGAACACCAGAGGCGAAGGCGGCCGCCUGGACCGGUUAUGACGCUAAAGUGCGAAAGCGUGGGGAGCAAACAGG
rnacentral:rRNA from 1 species